rnacentral:lncRNA from 1 species
CUCCUCGGUAUCCACCCAGAGAACUGAAAGCAGAGGCGGGAACAGGUCCUUGUGCUUCCACACUGAUAGCCACAUGCCUCACAACAGCCAAAAGGUGGGAACAACCCAAGUGUCUAUCAACAGAUGGGAAGAUGCACAAGAUGUGGUCCAUCCACAAAGUGGAAUAUUAUGCAGCCACAAAAAAGGAAGGAAAUCCUGGCAUGAACUACCACAUGGAUGAAUCAGUGAAGACAUGAUGCUGAGUGAAAUAAGCGAGCCACAAAAGGACAAAUACUAUGUGGUUCCACUCAGAUGAGGUCCCCAGAGUCAUGAAAUUCAAGAGACAGAAAGCAGGAUGCCCUUUCCUGCUUAUUUUUGGAAAAUCCACGCCAUGCGGUCAUCCACCCUGCAUGUUUAUUUGGCAGCUGCAACACCCGAAUGUUCACCCAAGAGGCACCAGAG